AGUAUCAUAGCCAAUGAAGUUUAUCCAAGGCAUGAUUAUUGCUAAUUGAAAACUUCUCCCUAU
ensembl:snRNA U4 U4 spliceosomal RNA